ACGACCAUGCUUGCAUGCUCAGAACCAGGCCCUGGGAUGUGCCGCCAGCAUCCCGCAGAGCCCAAGGCGCGUUCGCUCCCUGAGCUGGCGGCGUGGAUUAGUACCUGCAACGCUGAAGGGUAGGAAAUGCCUUCUCUGAAGCAUUGGUUAUGCAUGGAUUCGAUGGGCAGUUGUGGCCUUUAGCAGAGAAAUCAGAUAUGAGGCUUCUUCUCCAUGGAGGAUUUCCAAGGUACCAGUCUCUGAAAUGCUCCUGACUGCUGCUCUUCUUGAAGACAUCUGUCAACCUGAGCCCACAGACAGAGGUUAUGG